rnacentral:rRNA from 1 species
AGAGUUUGAUCCUGGCUCAGAUUGAACGCUGGCGGAAUGCUUUACACAUGCAAGUCGAACGGCAGCACGGGAGCUUGCUCCUGGUGGCGAGUGGCGAACGGGUGAGUAAUGCGUCGGAACGUACCGAGUAAUGGGGGAUAACGCAGCGAAAGCUGUGCUAAUACCGCAUACGCCCUGAGGGGGAAAGUGGGGGAUCGCAAGACCUCACGUUAUUCGAGCGGCCGACGUCUGAUUAGCUAGUUGGUGGGGUAAUGGCCUACCAAGGCGACGAUCAGUAGCGGGUCUGAGAGGAUGAUCCGCCACACUGGGACUGAGACACGGCCCAGACUCCUACGGGAGGCAGCAGUGGGGAAUUUUGGACAAUGGGGGCAACCCUGAUCCAGCCAUUCCGCGUGAGUGAAGAAGGCCUUCGGGUUGUAAAGCUCUUUCAGCUGGAACGAAACGGUACGCUCUAACAUAGCGUGCUAAUGACGGUACCGGCAGAAGAAGCACCGGCUAACUACGUGCCAGCAGCCGCGGUAAUACGUAGGGUGCGAGCGUUAAUCGGAAUUACUGGGCGUAAAGCGUGCGCAGGCGGAUUGUUAAGCAAGACGUGAAAGCCCCGGGCUUAACCUGGGAAUGGCGUUUUGAACUGGCAGUCUAGAGUGCGUCAGAGGGGGGUGGAAUUCCACGUGUAGCAGUGAAAUGCGUAGAGAUGUGGAGGAACACCAAUGGCGAAGGCAGCCCCCUGGGAUGACACUGACGCUCAUGUACGAAAGCGUGGGUAGCAAACAGGAUUAGAUACCCUGGUAGUCCACGCCCUAAACGAUGUCAACUGGUUGUUGGGGGAGUGAAAUCCCUUAGUAACGAAGCUAACGCGUGAAGUUGACCGCCUGGGGAGUACGGUCGCAAGAUUAAAACUCAAA